GCGGGAGCUGUCGGGGCGGGGCGGCACCGCCGAGCUCCGAGCUGUGAGGACCGCCCCGGGCCUUGGGCGGGGCGGGGGCCAGGGAAGGGCGUGCGCAGGAUUGGGGAGCACGUUUUGCGUCUUGCUGUGCGUGAGGAAGCGGGGAUCCAGGUCAAGGCUAUGGAAAGGCAGGACUUUGAAAUGACCCUGUCCUCAGCCUGGAGGAUGCGGUAUUCUGAUUGUCUGGUGCUGUGUCAACUGGGCCUGCCUCUGGGAUAGUGUUGUGGCUGCCCCACGAGAACCCUAUAUGCCAGUUCCAGAAGCAAAAACAAAAAAAGUUCGGGUACAGCGGCUCACACCUGUAAUCCCAGCUCUUAGGGAGAUGGAAACUGGAGGAUCACUUGAGGCCAGGAGUUCAAGACCAGCCUGGGCAACAUAGCAAGACCCAGUCUCUUAAAAGAAAAUUAAAAAGAAAGAGUAAAUAAAGUUCCAGAAGCUUUGCUCUCCUUAUCCAAGCAGCGUUUGUACUUUGGCACUGGAAAGUGCGGGAGUCAGGGGUUUGUGAGA
rnacentral:lncRNA from 1 species